GGCUGAUGGUGUCUCCCCUUCUGAGGAGUGGCGUGCCCUGGGUGAUGCCAAAGGGCAGGGCGCAGGGGAAUUUGUGGGCCUAAUAGUCUCCCUGGGGCUGGGGAAAGGGGAGCAGUGGUGGGGCCCUCCCCCACUCCAAGUCACUGACCUUCCCCCCAUCUCUCCUUCUGCUCCCCAUAGUUCCUGCAGCUGCAGGAGUUCCUAGAGAAACGCUUCCCAAAGCAGCUGGAGAUUACAGGGGAAAUGGCCCUCGGCUCUGGGGCCUUCGAGGUUCUUCUCCCUGACAGCGGGCAGGUCCUGCACUCCAAGAUUAACGGUGAUGGCUAUGUGGACAGUAACGCCAAGGUGCAGCGCAUCUGUGAAGGCAUCAGCAAGGUCCUGAGACAGUAGCGAGCAGGGAUUGGGGUGCUGUGCUUUCCAGGGCAGCACAUGACGGGAUCAGCCGAAAGGGAGUCACAGCCCAGGCCGGUCCCCGAUCUCCCCCCAGUGCUCCAACCCCUGUGGCUGUCGCCAAGCAAUAAAGA